UCCAGGAUAGCCUAGUAGACAUGGCAUCUGUCUCGUAAGAGGAAUACUGCGGGUUUGAUUCCCAUCCCUGGAU